UACGGGGGAUGCAAGCGUUAUCCGGAAUCAUUGGGCGUAAAGCGCCUGUAGGUUGUUUAUUAAGUCUGUUGUUAAAGACUAGGGCUUAACCCUAGAAAAGCAAUGGAAACUAAUAGACUAGAGUAUGGCAGGGGUAGAGGGAAUUUCUAGUGUAGCGGUGAAAUGCGUAGAUAUUAGAAAGAACACCGGUGGCGAAAGCGCUCUACUGGACCAUUACUGACACUCAGAGGCGAAAGCUAGGGUAGCAAAAGGGAUUAGAUACCCCUGUAGUCCUAGCCGUAAACGAUGGAUACUAGAUGUUGUGCAUUACGUACAGUAUCGUAGCUAACGCGUUAAGUAUCCCGCCUGGGGAGUACGCUCGCAAGGGUG
rnacentral:rRNA from 1 species